rnacentral:rRNA from 1 species
GGUUAAGCGACUAAGCGUACACGGUGGAUGCCCUGGCAGUCAGAGGCGAUGAAGGACGUGCUAAUCUGCGAUAAGCGUCGGUAAGGUGAUAUGAACCGUUAUAACCGGCGAUUUCCGAAUGGGGAAACCCAGUGUGUUUCGACACACUAUCAUUAACUGAAUCCAUAGGUUAAUGAGGCGAACCGGGGGAACUGAAACAUCUAAGUACCCCGAGGAAAAGAAAUCAACCGAGAUUCCCCCAGUAGCGGCGAGCGAACGGGGAGCAGCCCAGAGCCUGAAUCAGUGUGUGUGUUAGUGGAAGCGUCUGGAAAGGCGCGCGAUACAGGGUGACAGCCCCGUACACAAAAAUGCACAUGCUGUGAGCUCGAUGAGUAGGGCGGGACACGUGGUAUCCUGUCUGAAUAUGGGGGGACCAUCCUCCAAGGCUAAAUACUCCUGACUGACCGAUAGUGAACCAGUACCGUGAGGGAAAGGCGAAAAGAACCCCGGCGAGGGGAGUGAAAAAGAACCUGAAACCGUGUACGUACAAGCAGUGGGAGCACGCUUCGGCGUGUGACUGCGUACCUUUUGUAUAAUGGGUCAGCGACUUAUAUUCUGUAGCAAGGUUAACCGAAUAGGGGAGCCGAAGGGAAACCGAGUCUUAACUGGGCGUUAAGUUGCAGGGUAUAGACCCGAAACCCGGUGAUCUAGCCAUGGGCAGGUUGAAGGUUGGGUAACACUAACUGGAGGACCGAACCGACUAAUGUUGAAAAAUUAGCGGAUGACUUGUGGCUGGGGGUGAAAGGCCAAUCAAACCGGGAGAUAGCUGGUUCUCCCCGAAAGCUAUUUAGGUAGCGCCUCGUGAAUUCAUCUCCGGGGGUAGAGCACUGUUUCGGCAAGGGGGUCAUCCCGACUUACCAACCCGAUGCAAACUGCGAAUACCGGAGAAUGUUAUCACGGGAGACACACGGCGGGUGCUAACGUCCGUCGUGAAGAGGGAAACAACCCAGACCGCCAGCUAAGGUCCCAAAGUCAUGGUUAAGUGGGAAACGAUGUGGGAAGGCCCAGACAGCCAGGAUGUUGGCUUAGAAGCAGCCAUCAUUUAAAGAAAGCGUAAUAGCUCACUGGUCGAGUCGGCCUGCGCGGAAGAUGUAACGGGGCUAAACCAUGCACCGAAGCUGCGGCAGCGACACUAUGUGUUGUUGGGUAGGGGAGCGUUCUGUAAGCCUGUGAAGGUGUGCUGUGAGGCAUGCUGGAGGUAUCAGAAGUGCGAAUGCUGACAUAAGUAACGAUAAAGCGGGUGAAAAGCCCGCUCGCCGGAAGACCAAGGGUUCCUGUCCAACGUUAAUCGGGGCAGGGUGAGUCGACCCCUAAGGCGAGGCCGAAAGGCGUAGUCGAUGGGAAACAGGUUAAUAUUCCUGUACUUGGUGUUACUGCGAAGGGGGGACGGAGAAGGCUAUGUUGGCCGGGCGACGGUUGUCCCGGUUUAAGCGUGUAGGCUGGUUUUCCAGGCAAAUCCGGAAAAUCAAGGCUGAGGCGUGAUGACGAGGCACUACGGUGCUGAAGCAACAAAUGCCCUGCUUCCAGGAAAAGCCUCUAAGCAUCAGGUAACAUCAAAUCGUACCCCAAACCGACACAGGUGGUCAGGUAGAGAAUACCAAGGCGCUUGAGAGAACUCGGGUGAAGGAACUAGGCAAAAUGGUGCCGUAACUUCGGGAGAAGGCACGCUGAUAUGUAGGUGAAGUCCCUCGCGGAUGGAGCUGAAAUCAGUCGAAGAUACCAGCUGGCUGCAACUGUUUAUUAAAAACACAGCACUGUGCAAACACGAAAGUGGACGUAUACGGUGUGACGCCUGCCCGGUGCCGGAAGGUUAAUUGAUGGGGUCAGCGCAAGCGAAGCUCUUGAUCGAAGCCCCGGUAAACGGCGGCCGUAACUAUAACGGUCCUAAGGUAGCGAAAUUCCUUGUCGGGUAAGUUCCGACCUGCACGAAUGGCGUAAUGAUGGCCAGGCUGUCUCCACCCGAGACUCAGUGAAAUUGAACUCGCUGUGAAGAUGCAGUGUACCCGCGGCAAGACGGAAAGACCCCGUGAACCUUUACUAUAGCUUGACACUGAACAUUGAGCCUUGAUGUGUAGGAUAGGUGGGAGGCUUUGAAGUGUGGACGCCAGUCUGCAUGGAGCCGACCUUGAAAUACCACCCUUUAAUGUUUGAUGUUCUAACGUUGACCCGUAAUCCGGGUUGCGGACAGUGUCUGGUGGGUAGUUUGACUGGGGCGGUCUCCUCCUAAAGAGUAACGGAGGAGCACGAAGGUUGGCUAAUCCUGGUCGGACAUCAGGAGGUUAGUGCAAUGGCAUAAGCCAGCUUGACUGCGAGCGUGACGGCGCGAGCAGGUGCGAAAGCAGGUCAUAGUGAUCCGGUGGUUCUGAAUGGAAGGGCCAUCGCUCAACGGAUAAAAGGUACUCCGGGGAUAACAGGCUGAUACCGCCCAAGAGUUCAUAUCGACGGCGGUGUUUGGCACCUCGAUGUCGGCUCAUCACAUCCUGGGGCUGAAGUAGGUCCCAAGGGUAUGGCUGUUCGCCAUUUAAAGUGGUACGCGAGCUGGGUUUAGAACGUCGUGAGACAGUUCGGUCCCUAUCUGCCGUGGGCGCUGGAGAACUGAGGGGGGCUGCUCCUAGUACGAGAGGACCGGAGUGGACGCAUCACUGGUGUUCGGGUUGUCAUGCCAAUGGCACUGCCCGGUAGCUAAAUGCGGAAGAGAUAAGUGCUGAAAGCAUCUAAGCACGAAACUUGCCCCGAGAUGAGUUCUCCCUGACUCCUUGAGAGUCCUGAAGGAACGUUGAAGACGACGACGUUGAUAGGCCGGGUGUGUAAGCGCAGCGAUGCGUUGAGCUAACCGGUACUAAUGAACCGUGAGGCUUAACCUU